UACGUAGGGUGCGAGCGUUAAUCGGAAUUACUGGGCGUAAAGCGUGCGCAGGCGGUUUUGUAAGCCAGAUGUGAAAUCCCCGGGCUUAACCUGGGAAUGGCAUUUGGGACUGCAAGGCUGGAGUUUGGCAGAGGAGACUGGAAUUCCCGGUGUAGCAGUGAAAUGCGUAGAUAUCAGGAGGAACACCGAUGGCGAAGGCAGAUCUCUGGGCCGUAACUGACGCUGAGGAGCGAAAGCAUGGGGAGCGAACAGG
rnacentral:rRNA from 1 species